GAUAUCUGUGCAUUAUAUAUGUAGCUUUAUUUUUAAAUAAUGAAAACCGUUUCAUAUAAGGAGAAGGUUAAAGUAUAAAGCUGUCAACAUGUUGUGCAAUCCUAUGCCUUAAUGAGCAUGACUUUAAAUUGUGAAUAGGUGAAUGCAUGAAGUUAUCUAUCUAGUUAUCCUGGUGUUUAUGAACAUUUCAUAAAAAUGCUCCGUCAUCUGCACCAUGUAAAACACACACACCCACCCACACCCACACAGCCACACACAAAUAUACAGUACAGACAAUAAUUCAUCAUCAAAUUCCACUUAGGCCCCUCCUGGGAAACGACGAUACUUCUAAUAAACAUGUCUGUGGUGAAGAGCGUUGCAGAGUAAUUUGGAGGGUUGUGCAGCUCUCUGCAGGAUGCAGUCUGUUUCCUGCACAAACAGAUGGGCCUCGACAUGUAUUCUGCUUUCUUCACCUAAAACCCCAUCUCUACAUAAAAAAAUACAGCAUGUUUUGUGAGUAAAUGACCGACUGCAUCGGCCGCAGAGAAAGGAAACGCAGCUGGUGAACCACUGAGUCAUCCACCACAGAAAAAGGAGAUGGUCUCGUGUUGUUAAAGGGGGCUUUAAUUCAAUACAGUGCACCUGCCCCUAGGCAUUAGUUUGAUAUGUGUCUGAAAGUAAACAGAAGCAGUGUCCAGGGAUGUAAUCACUGGUGAUAAAUAUCAACGAACUGCUGGGGCCAGAACAUACAUGAAAGGCAGAGAGAAAAACAUGGAAAGGUGCAGAUUGUGCAGAAAAUUUUGAUGGGAGAUUGCUUGUUUUCUGUGUACAAAAUAAUAGUUGAUCUCCCAGAAUCUUGAAGAGUCUACUUGUAAAUGUAUGUUAGGUUUUAAGGAGAAAAGUCUCAGAUAUAAAGCAUUUGCCAGGCCUCUAUCCCUGCUCUUAAAGGCCUCUUUAUCUUCUUAUUUUCAUGGAGGAACAUGGGAAGAUAUAGAGGCAAGCAACACACCUUAGUAAGCAACAAAUUAAGGCUAAGAAAAUCAAUACCAGUUAUUUUAUGAAAGAUGGGUGGUAUUUAUUUUUAUUCUUUCAUUCCUUGUAUGUAGUAUGAGUGAUCUCUGGGCUGACAUUUACACAGCGUGACAAGCGUGGCAGUGUGAUAACAGAGAGAUACGACACACCUUCUUGAUGUUAUGAUAACAAAAGGUGCCUAUCCUUAAGAUGAUCUUCUCACACUGCCACUCACAAGACCAGAUUUAAUAUGAUUCAAAAUGUUGGAGAAAAAUAAAUCACAAAAAUGA